rnacentral:rRNA from 1 species
UACGUAGGGCGCAAGCGUUGUCCGGAAUUAUUGGGCGUAAAGAGCUCGUAGGCGGCUUGUCACGUCGGGUGUGAAAGCCCGGGGCUUAACCCCCGGGUCUGCAUUCGAUACGGGCUAGCUAGAGUGUGGUAGGGGAGAUCGGAAUUCCUGGUGUAGCGGUGAAAUGCGCAGAUAUCAGGAGGAACACCGGUGGCGAAGGCGGCUACCUGGACCGGUUCUGACGCUGAUGCGCGAAAGCGUGGGUAGCAAACAGG